GGUUAAGCGACUAAGCGUACACGGUGGAUGCCCUGGCAGUCAGAGGCGAUGAAGGACGUGCUAAUCUGCGAUAAGCGUCGGUAAGGUGAUAUGAACCGUUAUAACCGGCGAUUUCCGAAUGGGGAAACCCAGUGUGUUUCGACACACUAUCAUUAACUGAAUCCAUAGGUUAAUGAGGCGAACCGGGGGAACUGAAACAUCUAAGUACCCCGAGGAAAAGAAAUCAACCGAGAUUCCCCCAGUAGCGGCGAGCGAACGGGGAGCAGCCCAGAGCCUGAAUCAGUGUGUGUGUUAGUGGAAGCGUCUGGAAAGGCGCGCGAUACAGGGUGACAGCCCCGUACACAAAAAUGCACAUGCUGUGAGCUCGAUGAGUAGGGCGGGACACGUGGUAUCCUGUCUGAAUAUGGGGGGACCAUCCUCCAAGGCUAAAUACUCCUGACUGACCGAUAGUGAACCAGUACCGUGAGGGAAAGGCGAAAAGAACCCCGGCGAGGGGAGUGAAAAAGAACCUGAAACCGUGUACGUACAAGCAGUGGGAGCACGCUUAGGCGUGUGACUGCGUACCUUUUGUAUAAUGGGUCAGCGACUUAUAUUCUGUAGCAAGGUUAACCGAAUAGGGGAGCCGAAGGGAAACCGAGUCUUAACUGGGCGUUAAGUUGCAGGGUAUAGACCCGAAACCCGGUGAUCUAGCCAUGGGCAGGUUGAAGGUUGGGUAACACUAACUGGAGGACCGAACCGACUAAUGUUGAAAAAUUAGCGGAUGACUUGUGGCUGGGGGUGAAAGGCCAAUCAAACCGGGAGAUAGCUGGUUCUCCCCGAAAGCUAUUUAGGUAGCGCCUCGUGAAUUCAUCUCCGGGGGUAGAGCACUGUUUCGGCAAGGGGGUCAUCCCGACUUACCAACCCGAUGCAAACUGCGAAUACCGGAGAAUGUUAUCACGGGAGACACACGGCGGGUGCUAACGUCCGUCGUGAAGAGGGAAACAACCCAGACCGCCAGCUAAGGUCCCAAAGUCAUGGUUAAGUGGGAAACGAUGUGGGAAGGCCCAGACAGCCAGGAUGUUGGCUUAGAAGCAGCCAUCAUUUAAAGAAAGCGUAAUAGCUCACUGGUCGAGUCGGCCUGCGCGGAAGAUGUAACGGGGCUAAACCAUGCACCGAAGCUGCGGCAGCGACACUAUGUGUUGUUGGGUAGGGGAGCGUUCUGUAAGCCUGUGAAGGUGUGCUGUGAGGCAUGCUGGAGGUAUCAGAAGUGCGAAUGCUGACAUAAGUAACGAUAAAGCGGGUGAAAAGCCCGCUCGCCGGAAGACCAAGGGUUCCUGUCCAACGUUAAUCGGGGCAGGGUGAGUCGACCCCUAAGGCGAGGCCGAAAGGCGUAGUCGAUGGGAAACAGGUUAAUAUUCCUGUACUUGGUGUUACUGCGAAGGGGGACGGAGAAGGCUAUGUUGGCCGGGCGACGGUUGUCCCGGUUUAAGCGUGUAGGCUGGUUUUCCAGGCAAAUCCGGAAAAUCAAGGCUGAGGCGUGAUGACGAGGCACUACGGUGCUGAAGCAACAAAUGCCCUGCUUCCAGGAAAAGCCUCUAAGCAUCAGGUAACAUCAAAUCGUACCCCAAACCGACACAGGUGGUCAGGUAGAGAAUACCAAGGCGCUUGAGAGAACUCGGGUGAAGGAACUAGGCAAAAUGGUGCCGUAACUUCGGGAGAAGGCACGCUGAUAUGUAGGUGAAGUCCCUCGCGGAUGGAGCUGAAAUCAGUCGAAGAUACCAGCUGGCUGCAACUGUUUAUUAAAAACACAGCACUGUGCAAACACGAAAGUGGACGUAUACGGUGUGACGCCUGCCCGGUGCCGGAAGGUUAAUUGAUGGGGUUAGCCGCAAGGCGAAGCUCUUGAUCGAAGCCCCGGUAAACGGCGGCCGUAACUAUAACGGUCCUAAGGUAGCGAAAUUCCUUGUCGGGUAAGUUCCGACCUGCACGAAUGGCGUAAUGAUGGCCAGGCUGUCUCCACCCGAGACUCAGUGAAAUUGAACUCGCUGUGAAGAUGCAGUGUACCCGCGGCAAGACGGAAAGACCCCGUGAACCUUUACUAUAGCUUGACACUGAACAUUGAGCCUUGAUGUGUAGGAUAGGUGGGAGGCUUUGAAGUGUGGACGCCAGUCUGCAUGGAGCCGACCUUGAAAUACCACCCUUUAAUGUUUGAUGUUCUAACGUUGACCCGUAAUCCGGGUUGCGGACAGUGUCUGGUGGGUAGUUUGACUGGGGCGGUCUCCUCCUAAAGAGUAACGGAGGAGCACGAAGGUUGGCUAAUCCUGGUCGGACAUCAGGAGGUUAGUGCAAUGGCAUAAGCCAGCUUGACUGCGAGCGUGACGGCGCGAGCAGGUGCGAAAGCAGGUCAUAGUGAUCCGGUGGUUCUGAAUGGAAGGGCCAUCGCUCAACGGAUAAAAGGUACUCCGGGGAUAACAGGCUGAUACCGCCCAAGAGUUCAUAUCGACGGCGGUGUUUGGCACCUCGAUGUCGGCUCAUCACAUCCUGGGGCUGAAGUAGGUCCCAAGGGUAUGGCUGUUCGCCAUUUAAAGUGGUACGCGAGCUGGGUUUAGAACGUCGUGAGACAGUUCGGUCCCUAUCUGCCGUGGGCGCUGGAGAACUGAGGGGGGCUGCUCCUAGUACGAGAGGACCGGAGUGGACGCAUCACUGGUGUUCGGGUUGUCAUGCCAAUGGCACUGCCCGGUAGCUAAAUGCGGAAGAGAUAAGUGCUGAAAGCAUCUAAGCACGAAACUUGCCCCGAGAUGAGUUCUCCCUGACUCCUUGAGAGUCCUGAAGGAACGUUGAAGACGACGACGUUGAUAGGCCGGGUGUGUAAGCGCAGCGAUGCGUUGAGCUAACCGGUACUAAUGAACCGUGAGGCUUAACCUU
rnacentral:rRNA from 1 species